rnacentral:rRNA from 1 species
UACAGAGGGUGCAAGCGUUAAUCGGAAUUACUGGGCGUAAAGGGUGCGUAGGUGGAUAUACAAGUUGGGUGUGAAAUUCCUGGGCUUAACCUGGGGACUGCACUCAAGACUGUAUGUCUAGAGUAUGGUAGAGGGAAGUGGAAUUUCCGGUGUAGCGGUGAAAUGCGUAGAUAUCGGAAGGAACAUCAGUGGCGAAGGCGACUUUCUGGACUGAUACUGACACUGAGGCACGAAAGCGUGGGGAGCAAACAGGG